GACGAACGCUGGCGGCGUGCCUAAUACAUGCAAGUUGAGCGCUGAAGGUUGGUACUUGUACCAACUGGAUGAGCAGCGAACGGGUGAGUAACGCGUGGGGAAUCUGCCUUUGAGCGGGGGACAACAUUUGGAAACGAAUGCUAAUACCGCAUAAAAACUUUAAACACAAGUUUUAAGUUUGAAAGAUGCAAUUGCAUCACUCAAAGAUGAUCCCGCGUUGUAUUAGCUAGUUGGUGAGGUAAAGGCUCACCAAGGCGAUGAUACAUAGCCGACCUGAGAGGGUGAUCGGCCACAUUGGGACUGAGACACGGCCCAAACUCCUACGGGAGGCAGCAGUAGGGAAUCUUCGGCAAUGGACGAAAGUCUAACCGAGCAACGCCGCGUGAGUGAAGAAGGUUUUCAGAUCGUAAAACUCUGUUGGUAGAGAAGAACGUUGGUGAGAGUGGAAAGCUCAUCAAGUGACGGUAACUACCCAGAAAGGGACGGCUAACUACGUG
rnacentral:rRNA from 1 species